rnacentral:rRNA from 1 species
UGGGGAAUAUUGCACAAUGGGGGAAACCCUGAUGCAGCGACGCCGCGUGAACGAAGAAGGUAUUCGUAUCGUAAAGUUCUGUCCUAUGGGAAGAUAAUGACAGUACCAUAGAAGAAAGCUCCGGCUAAAUACGUGCCAGCAGCCGCGGUAAUACGUAUGGAGCGAGCGUUGUCCGGAAUUAUUGGGCGUAAAGCGAGCGCAGGCGGUUAGAUAAGUCUGAAGUUAAAGGCAGUGGCUCAACCAUUGUAGGCUUUGGAAACUGUUUAACUUGAGUGCAGAAGGGGAGAGUGGAAUUCCAUGUGUAACGGUGAAAUGCGUAGAUAUAUGGAGGAACACCGGUGGCGAAAGCGGCUCUCUGGUCUGUAACUGACGCUGAGGCUCGAAAGCGUGGGGAGCGAACAGG